rnacentral:rRNA from 1 species
AUUGAACGCUGGCGGCAGGCCUAACACAUGCAAGUCGAACGAGUGGCGGACGGGUGAGUAAUUUCUGGGAAACUGCCUGAUGGAGGGGGAUAACUACUGGAACCGGUAGCAACUACUGCAUACCAUCAGAUGUGCCCAGGUUGGAUUAGCUUGCUGCGGGGGUAACGGCUCACCAAGGCGACGAUCCCUAGCUGGUCUGAGAGGAUGACCAGCCACACUGGAACUGAGACACGGUCCAGACUCCUACGGGAGGCAGCAGUGGGGAAUCUUGCACAAUGGGCGAAAGCCUGAUGCAGCCAUGCCGCGUGUAUGAAGAAGGCCUUCGGGUUGUAAAGUACUUUCAGCGGGGAGGCGUUACCCGCCGAAGAAGCACCGGCUAACUCCGUGCCAGCAGCCGCGGUAAUUC